UCGCGUUCUCUCGGCCGUAGCGCCAUCUUCUUGGGUGAGUGUUGUCGCGCUCCGCGUUCGGGUUCCGCGCACAAUCCAUUGACAUCUGAAGUCUACACUUAGCAUCAGUACCGCAGACUAACCGUAGUCUUUCCUUGUCUUUCCCCGCAGCGGCCUCCGCACCAUGAGAGCUAAGUGGAGGAAGAAGCGAAUGCGCAGGCUGAAGCGCAAAAGAAGAAAGAUGAGGCAGAGGUCCAAGUAAACUGCGAUCUUGUGCACCGUGGAGGCCGCAGGAGCAGAAGCGAAGAAAGGCUGAGGCCGGGGACAUUGGGUAGAACCUCCUAACACCGAGCUCUCUCGAAUUCAUCUGGCUGCAUCUGGAACAGCUGAUCGCCGCGGCCACCGUUGAGAGGCCCUCCAUUUUAGUCCCCUUGCGGCCCUUUGCCCCAGACCUAACAUCCUGGACUGAUUUCUGUUCUUGCCUGGCCGAAUGUAAUCCGUGUGCACAAUAAACCAUCCAUUCUGUUUUGGCUGAAGAUAAACAAAACAA